rnacentral:rRNA from 1 species
CUACGGGACGCUCCAGUGAGGAAUAUUGCACAAUGGGGGGAACCCUGAUGCAGCAACGCCGCGUGGAGGAUGACGCAUUUCGGUGUGUAAACUCCUUUUAUAUGUCAAGAAAAUGACGGUAGCAUAUGAAUAAGCACCGGCUAACUCCGUGCCAGCAGCCGCGGUAAUACGGAGGGUGCAAGCGUUACUCGGAAUCACUGGGCGUAAAGGACGCGUAGGCGGGCUUGUAAGUCAGGUGUGAAAUCCUACAGCUUAACUGUAGAACUGCACUUGAAACUACGAGCCUAGAGUAUGGGAGGGGGAGACGGAAUUAGUGGUGUAGGGGUAAAAUCCGUAGAUAUCACUAGGAAUACCUAAAGCGAAGGCGAUCUCCUGGAACAUAACUGACGCUAAGGCGUGAAAGCGUGGGGAGCAAACAGGAUUAGAUACCCGAGUAGUC